GUUCGUCUCGCUAGGCAGAAAGCUUUGCGUCCUACGUAGUUGGGUCACCGGGAACCUUCCUUCCGAAAUCUACUCCGCAGAAGGGCUGAGUGACGGAGAGAACAGGUGCUGCAGGUUCAACUCCUUUGAUUCUCUCGCACUCUCCCGCCAUAAACUGUCUGUGCCCUGGCAAAACCUGUGCCUGGAAUUCACGCAUAUUCUGUCCACAUGCAUUAUUUGCUCUGCUUCCCAUUGCGAAGCCUGCUUCGGCGUGCAGGACAGAUGGGGAGGGCCUGGUUUGGGGCAAGAGUUUUAGGUUUUAUGUCUUCCCCGGGGCUUUCCACAUUUUCGUGUCAGGCAUCACAAAACCCAGCCACUAACUACAAUUUAACCUUUUUUUUUUUUUCCCAGAAGUGAUGGACUCUGAUUUAUUACAUCGUUUCAACACGCAUUGGCCUUUUGGAUACAAUCCAAAGGCAGAACAGUGUACUGUUUUAGAUAUUAACAUAGGGUUUUGUUUGGGUUCAGAUCUGGGUUUGCUCUGUCAUUUACUCAGUUGUGACAUUCAGCAAGUAACAUCUUAAAUCCUUGCUUUUCCCGUCAUAAAAUGGAGAGACAUAAAAGAAAAAUCUCAUAAGGUUUUACGGAGGUGGAGAAUGUUUAGAAAGCACUUUGCAUAGUUCCUAGCGUAGAGUAAGUGCUCAACAAAUACAGUAUACCCACAAAUUCCCAUGUGGGAUCACCACUUUUUCUGGCCCAGUAUUCCCACAAGAAAGGGUUUGUAAGACACAGAAAAUACAAUUAGCAUAAUAGCACAACACUAUUAGAUUCAAAACGUCAAUACUAGUAGGAAAAUAAUCUUGUAGAUGUUUCAUUGAAUAUGGAGGAGUUGUUUCCCUCUCCCUUUGAUCCUGCGCACAGAAUGGAAAACUGCAUCCUAACCCCACAGUUAAUAUAGACCAAUAACAGCAAGCAGCAAUUGGAUCCUAAAAUAGGAGAGAAUGGGAGAGGAGU
rnacentral:lncRNA from 1 species